AUCUAACGGUAGUUUAAUCAAAAUACUAAGUUGUGGACUUAGAGAAAUACUUAUAAUUUACUCCUUGAUAGC
rnacentral:tRNA from 1 species